AGUGAACGCUGGCGGCAGGCCUAACACAUGCAAGUCGAACGGCAGCACAGUAAGAGCUUGCCCUUACGGGUGGCGAGUGGCGGACGGGUGAGGAAUACAUCGGAAUCUACUUUUUCGUGGGUGAUAACGUAGGGAAACUUACGCUAAUACCGCAUACGACCUACGGGUGAAAGCAGGGGAUCUUCGGACCUUGCGCGACUGAAUGAGACGAUGUCGGAUUAGCUAGUUGGCGGGGUAACGGCCCACCAAGGCGACGAUACGUAGCUGAUCUGAGAGGAUGAUCAGCCACACUGGAACUGAGACACGGUCCAGACUCCUACGGGAGGCAGCAGUGGGGAAUAUUGAACAAUGGGCGCAAGCCUGAUCCAGCCAUGCCGCGUGGGUGAAGAAGGCCUUCGGGUUGUAAAGCCCUUUUGUUGGGAAAGAAAAACAGCGGGUUAAUCCCCCGAUGUUCUGACGGUACCCAAAGAAUAAGCACCGGCUAACUUCGUG
rnacentral:rRNA from 1 species